rnacentral:rRNA from 1 species
GGACUACCAGGGUAUCUAAUCCUGUUCGCUCCCCUGGCUUUCGCACCUCAGCGUCAGGAACUCCCCAGGACACUGCCUACGCCUUCGGUGUUCCUCCGGAUAUCUACGCAUUUCACCACUACACCCGGAAUUCCGUGUCCCUCUGAAGCCCUCAAGUCGCCCAGUUUUUGAAGUCCUUGCUCAGUUAAGCCGAGCACUGUCACUCCAAACUUAGGCGACCGCCUGCGUGCGCUUUACGCCCAGUAACUCCGGACAACGCUUGCCCCCUACGUAUUACCGCGGCGGCUGGCAC